rnacentral:rRNA from 1 species
UACGGAGGGUCCAAGCGUUAUCCGGAAUCAUUGGGUUUAAAGGGUCCGUAGGCGGGUCUGUAAGUCAGUGGUGAAAUCUCCCGGCUCAACCGGGAAAUGGCCAUUGAUACUGCAAAUCUUGAAUUAUUAGAAAGUAACUAGAAUAUGUAGUGUAGCGGUGAAAUGCUUAGAGAUUACAUGGAAUACCAAUUGCGAAGGCAGGUUACUAUCAAUAUAUUGACGCUGAUGGACGAAAGCGUGGGUAGCGAACAGG